rnacentral:lncRNA from 1 species
AUGAAUAUUUAUAGUCGUAAAAUGAGUAAGUCUAGCAUCUUCAGUUUUACUUAUACUCAUUUUUUCCCUCCAAAAUUCAGCCUCUGCUCAGUUCUGUCAGCACCUCACAUCAUGUUGUAUAAACAAAGUGGCAUACAGUGUCAUAAAACAAAAAGCUCUGGACUAAAGAACAAACCAAUUGGGUUAAAGCUUCAUCACUCACCUGAUAUCCUUGAAACUUUAGUAUAUACAUUUUCAAACUCUGGGGAUGUGUGAGAGAGGAUUUCAUUGUUUCUGCAUAAAAAUAAAAUCUUUCCAAAAGAAGAUAGUGAUAAAGGUUUGUACAAUUCAAAUUCAAGCAUCUUGGUAGAGAUGAACAUUUUCCUGUUUAUAGUUCAUCAGUCAAACUACGGUUUCAUCAACUGCAAGAGAUUUUUUUAACCAAUUUUGAAAGAAUGACUGUGGAGGAGAUAUAGGUAUAUGAGGCUCUCUUCAAAGACAGAAAAUGUUGUGAUGUGAAGAAGAUGAUAAGACCCCAUGCUCAAAAAUAUCUUCCACAUAUGUAGGGCCUGAAAUUCCCACCAGUGGUCAUAGAUGAAAAAUGGCAUCUAAAUUAACAUUGCCAGUGAGAAAUGAAUCACUUAUGCUAACACUUUAGCUGUUGCCUAACAUAAAACAAAACUUGGGAAAAAUUAAUGCAGACUAUAGGAUAGCAGAGGAAAAUAUCUAGGCUGAGAGAGUACAAAGACAUUAGGGCAAUUCAUUUAUACCACCUCUAGGUAUUAAAUAGUACUUGCAAACUUGAGCAGGGGAAGAGAAAGACAAAUAGAAAAGUACUGCUUACAAAAAUCUAUGUUGUUUAUGAAAAGUCAGAGGGGUAAAGUGAGCUCAAAAAUCAGUUAUUCUACAUUCAUAAUUAUACUUCUCAAGUAACAUUCCUAUAAAAAUAAAAGAGCAAGAAAUCAUCCAGGCUGGGUUCAAACUUGCAAUCCUCCAGUCUCAGCCUCCCAGAGUUCUGGGAUCACAGGCGCAGCCAUCACACCCCGCUUAAUUUUUUUUAUUGUAACAAAAAUCACCAGAUGCUGUGGAUUUCAUACUGAAUGCCAAGUGUUGCUCUAGGCUGAGGGCCUAUAAACUUUCUUUUAUAAAGAGCCAGUUUGUAGAUAUUUUAGCCUCUGCUGGCCAAGAGGCAAGAUUGGGGAUCUUAUCCAGGCACUUACAUAACCAAAGGGAAAUGUCUGUAAGACUUGUAUUGUGCGACUUUAGUCAGGUGCAAUGGAACAUGCUUGCUCCCAGUUCUUUGCAAGGCCAAGGCCAGAGGAUGGCAAGUUUGAGGCCAGCUUGAGCAACUUACCAAGGCCCUGUCUCAAAAUAAAAUAAAAUAAAAUAGGCUGGGGUGUGGCUCAGAAGUGGGGCACUUGCCUAGCACCCGCCAGGCCUCGGGUUCCAUCCCCAGGGAUGAAAUUAAAAGUAUAAUAAAUGUGGUUUUUAAAAUAAAAAAUAAAUAAAUAAAAGAGAAAGUAUUACUGGUGGUAUGGUUCAUAUCUAAAUGCCCCCCAAGCCUCAUGUACUCAAAGAUGGGGCUUCUGAAAGGUGAUUGUAUUAUGCGGUGUUACGACUGACUUGCUAUUAGAAAGCGGAUUCUGGGAGGAAGAAGCAUGUCACUGGGUGAGCGCCCAGCUUCUCCCAGCUCCUCCUUGACUCUCUGCUUACUGAACACCAUGCUGUGAGCAGCCUUUCUCUGCAUUCCCUAAGCCAUGCUGCUUCUGCCCUGGAGCCAACCAAAUAUGGACUGAAAUGUCUACAAACUAUGAAUCAAAAUAAAGCUCUCCUCUUAAUUUGUGGGUGUUGAGUAUUUUGUCCCAACAACAAGGGAAGUGACUAAGGCAAUUGUUCAAUGAGUAAUAGUUAUAGAAGUAUCCCUUUAAUAAAAAUACAUUUAGCUCCAAGGAUCACAGACACUGUACAUACAAUCAUUAAUUAAGAAGAGGUUUCUGCUCUCAAUGGUACAUGAGCUGGUAAUUAAAACAUAAAAUAAUAAUGGUC